rnacentral:lncRNA from 1 species
UUUAAACUUCCUUAAAAUGGAACUUCUUUUCUGUCCUUUUGUUCCUUUUCCCAAGUGAAUCAUUUGAGAAGACAUGAUUCAUGAUUAUUCAUCGGAGAGAAACUAUAAAGUCAGUUCCUUGCGAGGUUGUUCCUGGUCCAAAGAUGUGCAGCUGAUGGUCAGCGCACCGGGUUCCCAUUGCGUCCAUUUUGUUCUAAAAACAUUUACAUUCGAUUCUUUAUAUUUUUGUUCAGCAUUUUGCCUGAUGAUGGUGUCUUGUACACUGAAUACGUUGGCAAUUAAAAGUUGUUUUGGUGUAUACUUAUCUGCCAUAUAGUGCUUUUGUUUUUCUUUAAUAGUGGAGUUUUAAGGCAGUCAAAGUAGUCUUUAGCUAUAU